GAAUAUUAGUCAAUGCUCGAAAGAGUGAACUAGCUAACUGAAAUCAAUUAUAAUAAUUGAUAACAUAAGGGAAAAUAAUGAUAUUACCUUAUUAUUAGUGUCGUCCAAAUCUGGUGCCAGAAGACUCGGUAAGGCCAGAGACACAAACGUUAAUCGUCUUAAUCAGGCGUAAAGGGUUUGUAGGCAGCUUUAAAAUUUAUUUAUACAAAUAAUAAGUAAAGAAUAAAAGCUAGAAUCAAAUAGAGGAUAUAUGAAAGAAUGCUUAGAGUAGGUCUGAUAUCCUUAGAUACUAAGUAGAAUAUUAAAGGCGAAAGCUUUUUUCCAAUAAUGAUUGACGCUCAGAAACGAAGGUGAGGAUAGGAAAUAGGAUUAGAUACCCAGAAUACCCCUCUCUGUCAACGAUGAAUGGUAGUUAUUAGUAAAAUUUAUUAAUGACAAUGUUAACACGAUAACCAUUCCGCCUUGUGAGUACAACUGCAAAGUUGAAAACAAAAAAAUUAGUCGGUUUCGGAGCAAACGAAGUGAAGCAUGUUAUUUAAUUC
rnacentral:rRNA from 1 species